rnacentral:rRNA from 1 species
GAUGAACGCUGGCGGCGUGCCUAAUACAUGCAAGUCGAGCGAACAGACGAGGAGCUUGCUCCUCUGACGUUAGCGGCGGACGGGUGAGUAACACGUGGAUAACCUACCUAUAAGACUGGGAUAACUUCGGGAAACCGGAGCUAAUACCGGAUAAUAUAUUGAACCGCAUGGUUCAAUAGUGAAAGACGGUUUUGCUGUCACUUAUAGAUGGAUCCGCGCCGCAUUAGCUAGUUGGUAAGGUAACGGCUUACCAAGGCAACGAUGCGUAGCCGACCUGAGAGGGGGAUCGGCCGCACUGGAACUGAGACACGGUCCAGACUCCUACGGGAGGCAGCAGUAGGGAAUCGUCCGCAAUGGGCGAAAGCCUGACGGAGCAACGCCGCGUGAGUGGUGAAGGUCUUCGGAUCGUAAAACUCUGUUAUUAGGGAAGAACAAAUGUGUAAGUAACUAUGCACGUCUUGACGGUACCUAAUCAGAAAGCCACGGCUAACUACGUG